UACGGAGGGUGCGAGCGUUGUCCGGAAUCAUUGGGCGUAAAGGGCGCGUAGGUGGCCCGGUCAGUCUUUGGUGAAAGCGCGGGGCUCAACCCUGCGUCGGCCAGGGAUACUGCCACGGCUCGAGCACUGUAGAGGCAGGCGGAAUUCCGGGUGUAGCGGUGGAAUGCGUAGAGAUCCGGAAGAACACCGGUGGCGAAGGCGGCCUGCUGGGCAGUUUUGCUGACACUGAGGCGCGACAGCGUGGGGAGCAAACAGG
rnacentral:rRNA from 1 species